rnacentral:rRNA from 1 species
UACGGAGGGUGCAAACGUUGCUCGGAAUCAUUGGGCGUAAAGCGAACGUAGGCGGCUAUGUAAGUCGGGUGUGAAAGCCCUCGGCUCAACCGAGGAAGUGCAUUCGAAACUGCAUGGCUUGAGUAUCGGAGAGGAUAGCGGAAUUCCCGGUGUAGAGGUGAAAAUUCGUAGAUAUCGGGAGGAACACCAGUGGCGAAGGCGGCUAUCUGGACGAAUACUGACGCUGAAGUUCGAAAGCGUGGGGAGCAAACAGG